rnacentral:sRNA from 1 species
ACUUCAGGAAGCCACCAGAGGAGCAGCUUCCUGGCUAGAUGGCCAAAGUGUUGAGAACUUGCUAGAAAGGUUUCACUCUGUUGGUCACAAUAACACACACCCUAAAAGAGCAAGAAAGGUCAAGAGAUCCUUCUUUCAAGGACCACUUUUGCCACUGAUAGGCUGAACCAGUGCCUUCAUCUGAGCAGCGAAGGGGCGUAAAUGAGCAGGGACACACUCCUCAGACCUUCUGCCUCUUGGCUCUGCCUACUCAUUGGUAGAGGCACUAGUGCACAGCGGUUAAAGAGGAAGGCUGCUUCACAUCUCAGCUCCAUCACUCACAGCGCUGCAAAUAUCUUCCUUGCUGGUUGUGUGGAAGUGAUGGGUUAAGGAAGGAAGACUAGAUCUCCAUUUCCGGCUUAUGUUUUAUGAUUUAUAAUUUCAGAGCUUGCUUUUUUUUCUUCUGUCACAGUGCCAUUAAUUGAUGAUAAAUUUUCCUCUAAAUAAGCACAACAUAUUGCCACCAGCUGUCUUGUCCAAAGUUGUAACUAGAUCUUUAUUGUAAAACGUAAUAAAAUUCCAAAGGAUUUUUAAGCAUUUAAACUGCAACCUGAAUAAAUAACAGGUGUUCUAAAGCUACAAUUAUACAAACUGGUGUUCAUCUUAAUUAAACUCAAGCUUUCAAAAAAAUUUUCUGAGUUUUUAAAAUUGCAAAGUAAUUAGCAAUACAUCUGAAAACAUAAACAAGUUAGAAUAUUAUGUAAAGCCUUAAAAAGAGACAAAAAUAAAAUAGGAAUAUAAAUUAAUAAUGAAAAUUUCAUAGUUUAUGGUACCAGGUAGAUAUAGAUUUGAUUCCUAGAUUUGCUAUCUACCAGCUUGUUACUUUGAGUGAGCUGCUCACAAAAUCUCUCUGAACCUUAAAGUCUUAUAUGUAAAACUGAUAUGGUAAUACUUAUCUGCCAAGGGUCAUUUUCAGCAUUAAAUGAGAUAAUGGAUUUUAAAAAUCUAGGAGAGUAAACCUAGCAUGUGAGUGAGCUCAGCAAUGCCUAGUUCUCUACCUCUUUACCUACCAGAUAGGAAAAUAUGCUACAAAAUAACUAUUAUUUAAGAGGACAAUAAAGAAACAGAAAUAUGAAUAGAGAUUAAAGACAAUAAAAACAAGCCUGGAAAGCUUGAAAAUUAUACAAAAUAAUAUCUAAUUUUAAAAUGUAACAAUUAAAGAAGGAUUUAUUUAAUUAGUAAUGCCAAAAGGAGACAUAUGAUCACAGUUUACAAUAUAUAUCCAAAUGAACACCAGUUAAAGAACCAAGCAGAAAAGAAAAAUCAAAUAUAGGAAGAUUAGCAUAAAAUAAGAUACUUGUGGCUUUGAAGGUUAAAAGUUACAAAAUAAUUUGCAAGUGAAAAUAUUUUGCUAUAACUUUAAAAUUUUAUUUAACUAAAUAAUAUGUAACUAAAAAGUAAAGCAUCAAACAAGGAAAUAUUCGUGUCUAAUACUUAGGAAAAUAAUAAAUGUCAAUAUUAUGGACGCUAUGAUUAUGUAACCCACUCCUAUUCACUCCUAAUCAAUCCUAAUAGAGAUAUUAAAAGUGAUCAUAUAAUAUGAAUAAAAUUAAGAUAAAAGUAUAAACUUAGGUCAACCUUCUACAUAACUCCAAUACCAAAAUAGAAAAUAUUUUAGGAAUAAUAUUGAAUCCUCAAUAGUAGCAACAAGUAAAAGAUAUAAAAUAUAUAAUCUUUUUUUAAAAAGUAUGGUUGCAAAUAAGUAGUAUGAAUAUGAAGACCACUAAAACACUUCAUUGAGAGAGUUUAGGUUUGAAUAAAUGAGUUACAAUGCUAUGUUUGUGGAUGGCCCAUCUCAGAAUUGCAAAUAUGUCAGGUUUUUCAGAAGUAUUUAUAGAUUUGAUGCAGUCCCAGUCAAAACCCCUCGUCAUUAAAAAAAAAAUUGACAGAUAUAAUCUUGGCAAAAGUUUUCUGGAUCAACAAGCAUCAUAAAGGUUACAUUGAAUCAGACAUUCUGCUACAUUGCCACUGGCAUGGUGAAUCAGUACUUCCCUUGUGAAGGAAAAUUUGUCAGGGAAGAGUAGUCACAAGGCUUUAGAUUGUACAGCCCAUAUGUCCCUGAAAUUAUACUUCUGAGAGGAAAUUCCAAGGAUAUCAUAGUGAGUCAUGAAUUGCAAUACUUACCAUGGAGUUUUUCAUACACCUGGAAAUACACAGAUGACCAAAAGGAAAGUUAGCUAGUGAAUGUGUUAAAGCAUGCAGUGAACAUUAAGCAGCCUCUAGAAUCAUAUUCUCAAAGAAUGUUUAGAGACAUUAGAAAGGAUUCAGUACAUAACAUCACAUGAAGAAACAUAGGAUACAAAACUUUAAACUGAAAAAAUAUAUAGCAUACAAAACUUUAAAUCAGUCUGAGCCACGUGCAUAGAAAAAUAAAAGAAAAAAAUGUACGGCAGUCAAUAGAGAUUCUUCCAUUUUCUCUUAUUACAAAACCAGAAGAUCAGCUAUGUGGGGCCAUCAGCUCCCAGCCUAAGGUCCUAUAAUCCGAAGCUUGAAGGCAAUCAGUACCUCUGCUUUUCAAAGGUCAUGAGAUUGGUCAUUUCUAAAGCAACACAGACUUGUACCUGUAUCAGCAGUGUUUACCACGCUCAUAAUCAAAGAUGUAUGCUAGUUUGGAAUGAGCUACUAGGCUCAUUGUAUCAGUGUCCAAAAUAAUGAAGAUUUAUCUGUCACUGUGCCACCAAGAGUCCAAUUCACUGGCUACUUUGAGAAAGAACAUGGUGCACUAUUUGCUUUACACUCAAGAAGUUAAUAUGGAACCUUAAAAAUUGGAACAGAAACUAAAACAAAUUAAGGAGAUCUUUCAGAGAUUUUAACCUUAUAUUUUGUCUCUGCAACUAUAACUUUGUAAAUAACCAUAACUUUGAAUAUGAAUAAAGAUUUAAAAAUAAGUUAUCAGACAUUCUCAACCUUGUUUCCAAGUUUAUGUAAUGUUUAUCAUAAGAGAGAAUCCUAAAAUAUUAAAAUUGCUUACUUGAAUUUAA